GAUGAACGCUGGCGGCGUGCUUAACACAUGCAAGUCGAACGGAAAGGCCGAAGCUUGCUUCGGUACUCGAGUGGCGAACGGGUGAGUAACACGUGGGUGAUCUGCCCUGUACUUCGGGAUAAGCUUGGGAAACUGGGUCUAAUACCGGAUAUGACGAUCUCUUGGAUGGGGUUGUGGAAAGCUUUUGCGGUAUGGGGUGAGCUCGCGGCCUAUCAGCUUGUUGGUGGGGGAAUGGGCUACCAAGGCGUUGUCGGGUAGCCGGCCUGAGAGGGUGUAAGGCCACAUUGGGACUGAGAUACGGCCCAGACACCUACGGGAGGCAGCAGUGGGGAAUAUUGCACAAUGGGCGCAAGCCUGAGGCAGCGACGCCGCGUGGGGGAUGACGGCCUUCGGGUUGUAAACUCCUUUCGCAAUCGACGAAGCCUUUUGGUGACGGUAGGUGGAGAAGAAGCACCGGCUAACUACGUG
rnacentral:rRNA from 1 species